CUGGUGAGGGUCUUCUUUUCUUCUCACUUUCUCUCCCCUUCUUCUCUGCAGUUUCCUCAGUUUGUCCCGAACUGAUUUUGAUCCCUCCAUGCUUUUAGGUUAGCAGAAGACCAACCGAGCAGUGCCUGGAAAUGAUGUGCCAUAGGUAAGGAGGGCAGGAUGGGCAGAGACUGCAGUAGGUGAGAGCACAGAAAAGCAGGGAAGCCCGGGAAGCCCAUCACUGAAGAAAGCGAGUGAAAAGGGUUUGCUUUUUUUCCCUUUUCAUCAACACGAAUGUUGACCAGCAAGUGGAGGAAGAGCAAUACGAGGUAGGAGGAAUGGAGCUGCUGCUCCAGGGGUGCAGGUUAAUUAGAGAAUUAAAGGGCAGUGAGGUGUCGUAAGAGUGGAGCUUCAUCAAUACAUAAGUUUUAAUGCUUCUCUCUUUCUCCUACAAUGCCAGACGUUUCCCAGGGUUGCAGUCGCUUGACUGGGAAGUUUGUGUGCCGGUGGAGAUCUAGGGUAUGGCGAAGAGCAGGGACAGACAAAAUGGGGUCCCAGCACUCCUCCUCGCAUGCGUACGGUAAGCUGGGGGCGGACAAGCACCGUUCAGCAGUUCCUGCACAGUGAGGCCAGUGCUCUUUGCUUCUCACCUGCAAUGACGCCACCGGCCAAGCCGCCGUGCUCAGCUGCCGCUUUGCUUUCCUGCGCCCAUAUUGCCUGGCUGCCACUGUAGCCCAGGGUGAAAGCUCUGGCCAAAUAAUAAUCUGUGGCUGCCUCUGCCAAGCAAACUCUGCUCUGCAACUCUGAACAGACGCCAGCACCUCCAGGACACCUGCCUCGUUCUUCUUUCAGUGCUUUGAUUCCUUGUGCUUGCGCUGCCUAUUGGGCUGCUCAAGUUAUACCAAAACACUGCCAGUGCCGACAGUCUGGACUUGCAUGUAAUUCAGAAACAGGUUUGUACGUCCAUCUGCUGACCCAUUUUUUUUCUCCAUCCUCAUAAUUAGCUAGACGGGCCUAGUUUCACUGCAUGUUUAACACAAAAUGUUUUUCAGUCAAGUCUAUUAUUUUCCAGAAAGAGAGCAUGUGUGUGAGCUGACAUGUAGAUGUAAAGGUGUGCAGCAGGGAAAGUUAAUGUCUCUGCACAGAUGGCGAGAAACACCCUACCAUUCAGCCAUGCAGAAGAUAUACUUGAUUACG
rnacentral:lncRNA from 1 species